rnacentral:lncRNA from 10 species
GUUAGGUGUCUGAGCUCAGACUCUCCUUGGAUGGGACUUGCUGCUACUGCUGUGGGAGAUGGGAGUGUGGUUCUCAGGCCAAUUAGAGUUACCUUCCCAGGGGGAUUAUGGCUUCCACUAGUGUGUCAUGCAGGUUGCCAGGGAAGUUGGGGAAAGCUGGCAGUUACAGGCCUUACACAGCUCCCCCAAAGCAGCCCAAAAGGCCAGUCUUACUCCCACUGUGCCCCCACAACAGGACCAGGUUUGUUUCUAGGCAACAGGUGAGCAAGGCUGAGAAAGCAAGCAGGGCUUUUAGGCUUCCUGCCUCCCCGCCUGCUGCCCCACCUCCUACAGCUUCUGUGCUGUGUCUGCACUCCCAAUUCACCCCCUCCCCUGAGUUCUGUCCAGGAAACUUUGCAUUCAGUUGAAAUUAUUACGCAGUACAGCUGGAAGUUCCCUUCUCCCUGUGGUCUUUUCCCAGUUCCUCUGACAGCCAUCCCCAAGGACCUCUUCAAGACAAAGUCAGAAAUUGAUUCCCUGGGGACCGAGAGAGCCCACAGGGCUCUUCUUGCUGCUUCUUCUAUCCCUGUAUUUCACUCAGCUCUCCAAAUUUGUCUCAGCUCCAGGGAAAACAUGGAAGCAGGGAGAUGGAACAUCCCUCUGGCUCAGUCCCUGAGUGAGGACAAGAUAGAGCAAAGCCUCCUAGCUGACUCAUAAUGGAAGCAGAGUCCAGGUAAACAUGAGAAGAAUGGUGUUCUGCUGUAUUCUGCAGAGGGCAGAUGGUUUGAUGCCUAGAGCUAACAAAACCUCUCUUGAAGCCAUCCAAUCAACUCCUGUCCUUCAUAUGCAAACUCAAUCCAAGAGACCACGUGGAAUAAAGGAUCCUUAUGCUUCUUUCCCACCCUUCUUAUUUUCUCUAAGACACAUUUUGAUAAGUGCAAAUACCUUGUG